rnacentral:misc_RNA from 1 species
CAAAGGCCCGGCUCAGGAGUGAUCCCGAAUCGCCUGUAGUUUCAAGAUCAAGAUCAAGUACCAGAGGAGGACGUACCUCUGAAGCAAUACAAAGCAUCUUGAUUUAAAAGUGGAGUAAUUUGCCAUUGAAUGAUAUGAUUGAAUCUGGUUCUGAUGGCAUAUCCUGAAUUAAUCUGAACAGAAUUUGAAACAAUCUCUGAUUACUUACUUAUUUGUUGAAGGUUGGCACAGCCAAGUAUCACAACAAGAUGCGUACAGUGAAGGUGACUCAGGAUGUGCCUGCCAAUGCCCUUGCCUUGGAUCCUUAUGAUACACAGGUGGUCAUUGCAGGCAGACAUGUUUUCAAGAUCUUUGCCUUGGAGGAAGAUGGUUUGGUUGAGCGAGCUAAUCUGAGGGCUGGGAAACACCUCAACCUCAACUUUUCUUGCAAUGAUGUUGUGUGGAAUCCUUUGGAAGAUGCAGUAUUGGCAACUGCUUCCACCAACGGUGCAGUGGUCACUUGGAAUCUCAACAAAGCCUCACGAUCCAAGCUGGACUGUGUAUUCAAUGAUCACAGCCGUACAGUGCAGAAGGUUAGCUUUCAUCCAUCUGAGGCUCACCUUCUCAUAUCUGGCUCACUUGAUGGAUUCAUGAAGCUGUUUGAUCUUCGGCGGAGGGAGGCCACCCAGACCUACACCAGUAAUGCAGAAAGUGUGAGGGACUUGCAGUUCAACCCACAUCACAGCAUUCACUUUUGUGCUGUCUCUGAGAGUGGCAAUGUGCAGCUGUGGGACAUGCGUCGUCCAGACCGUGUGGAGAAACAGUUCACUGCUCAUGGUGGACCCAUUUUUGCCCUGGACUGGCAUCCAGAAGUCAAAACCUGGAUUGCUACAGCUGGACGGGACAAAACUAUUAAGGUAUGGGAUUUGAAUGAGAACCCAACAGUCUGCAACACCAUUCAGACCAUUGCUUCAGUAGGUCGUGUCAAGUGGAGGCCAAACUGCAGAUACCACAUUGCUAGCUCAGCCUUGUUGUGGGACUGCAGCAUCAAUGUAUGGGAUAUCCGUCGUCCUUACAUCCCACUGGCUGCUUUCAAUGAGCACAAAAACCUUACUACAGGCAUCUGCUGGCGUUCAGAGGCCAAUAGACUACUCUCUGUAGGCAAGGAUUGUACACUGAUUCAUCAUGCCUUCCAAGAUGCUUCUCGUCCCAUGGAGGAGGUCAACCCAAGUGCCCUUGACAUCAGUGUUUUUGGCAAUAUUUCAAAUGCUGCUCGCAACAAGGAUGAGUCAGAACCAGUAGGCAACCUGGCCAAGCUGAUGCCAGUAUUCAGGAGAACUGUUUCCCAUGCUGAGCACAGUGGACAGGUAUUGUCCUCACUGCAAAUGAUGAGUCCUGCUGAUGAUGGGCAAAUCUCUUCCCAUCACAUAGUCCAGUCUGCACAUCAGUACCUCCUGACUGGCCGCUCCCUUGCUGAAAUCUGUGAGCACAAUGCAGGUGUGGCCAAACAGCUCAGCAGGCACCAGGUGGCUCUGACUUGGCAAAUGAUGCAGAUGCUCUAUGUAGGUGUCAGCGGGGGAAGUGACCAUCCCACCACCACCAGGGAUGACCCCUCCCUGCCCCUAGACACCAAUCCUGAUGCUGAACCCAGAACUGCACGCCACUUUUCUGGUGGUGAUGGUGGUGGUGACACAUCAGGGGGUGGAGGCUUCAGUGCAGAAGAGGGUGACACAGAGACAGAUGACACAGAUAAUCAUGACAUGAAGCUGACCAACAUUGCCAGUGGUCUCACCAUCAACCAGGACUUCUUCUUUGGGGAUGGUGAAAUCAGCCAGAUCCCUUUUGAUUAUGAACAUCUUAACAACACUGACACCAGCCAAGACUGGACUCUGCCCAAUGAGGCCUUUGAGCCACGCCAUGACAUCCUUACUCGUUCAGCUAUGCCACCUCAGGAGUUCUCUUCCAAGUGUUUAUCUGGGGAGAUGCAGGACAGUGGUAGAGGAGAAAGUGGGAGAGGUGGUGGAGUGUCAGGGUAUGUGGUAGAAGCUCCAUCCCUGCUGAAUGUGAUGAGAGGAGUGAAGAUGCCAGCUUGGGACUGUGGCCAGUUGGUGGUGGAAAUGCUGUAUCAUUAUGCCAGUCAAGGAGAUGUGCAGAUGUCUGUCACCUGUAUCAUUGUUCUUGGAGACAGGCUCAAGCUGGGCUACCAUCAGUGCAACAACUCAACCAGCAAUCUACUGUAGUCACACUGCAGUGUGGCCGUUGCAAUUACAGUUUGGGCAAGAACAGCUUGUUGUGCCGUAAGUGUGGAUGUGUAUCAGCCCGCUGUGCCCUGUGCCAUGGUCUGGUGCGUGGACUGUUUGUGUGGUGUCAGGGCUGCUCUCAUGGUGGCCACCUCCAUCACAUUAAGGAUUGGAUGGCUAGUAACCGGGCAUGUCCAGCUGGCU